GAUGAACGCUAGCGGCAGGCCUAAUACAUGCAAGUCGAACGGGUGGUCGCAAGACCACUAGUGGCGCACGGGUGCGUAACGCGUAACCAACCUGCCCCGAUCUGGGGGAUAGCCCGCCGAAAGGCGGAUUAAUACCGCAUAUACCCGCAGCCUGGCAUCAGGCACCGGGGAAAGAUUUAUUGGAUCGGGAUGGGGUUGCGUGACAUUAGCUAGUUGGCGGGGUAAGGGCCCACCAAGGCGACGAUGUCUAGGGGACCUGAGAGGGUGAUCCCCCACACUGGCACUGGGAUAAGGGCCAGACUCCUACGGGAGGCAGCAGUAGGGAAGAUUGGGCAAUGGGCGAGAGCCUGACCCAGCCAUGCAGCGAGCCGGAUGAAGGCCUUCUGGGUUGUAAACGGCUUUUCUCAGGGAAGAAAAAGACCUUGCGAGGUACACUGAUGGUACCUGAGGAAUAAGCACCGGCUAACUCCGUG
rnacentral:rRNA from 1 species